rnacentral:rRNA from 1 species
UACGUAGGGGGCGAGCGUUGUCCGGAGUUACUGGGCGUAAAGCGCACGCAGGCGGUCUGCUAAGUUUGGAGUGACAGUUGGUGGCUUAACUGCCAAAGUGCUUCGAAAACUGACAGACUUGAGGGCUUCAGAGGGACACGGAAUUCCGGGUGGAGUGGUGAAAUGCGUAGAGAUCCGGAGGAACACCAAAGGCGAAGGCAGUGUCCUGGGGAGUACCUGACGCUCAGGUGCGAAAGUCAGGGGAGCGAACGGG